AAGUCAGAGGAAGGAAAGAUGGUGGAAAGUGAAUCUUUCCACUGUUUGGAACAAUCUUAAAAAGUGAAGGAAAGAAAAUUUUAUGUGGACCCCACCCAAAAAUCCUUUCCGCGCUACUUUGGACGGAAAGCGGGAAGAGCGACCAAAAUUUUGGGCAAAAGGACAAUAAUGCCCUUCUCUUUCAUCAAAUUCUAUUUGUCUUUUUGAAUACCCUUCAAAUCAAAAUCCUUCAAAAAAAUUGCUUGCUCUGGUUCUUGUUUACCUUCCAAAAUCAAACUGGUCCAUUUCAUUUGUUCUACUUCCACAACCUUUCAGUUGCUUUGUAAGCUACUACAAUGCCAAAGGGAAAAACCACUCCAUCAGAUUCUAAUCACCCUGGUAGAGAUAGCCUACAAUGGAAUGAUGAAAUGGAUCAAAUGUUGUUGAAUGCUUUGGGUGAAGAGGCAAAUAAGGGAAAUAGGCACGAUGGUGCUUGGACAACACAAGCAUACAACAACAUGGUCGAAGCCUUAAGAUCUACAAUUGGACCAAAUAUCACAAAGAAUCAUAUAAAGAAUAGAAUGAAGACACUAAAAAAUCAUUUUGCUGAAGCUUACGACUUGUUCCAUAGCUUAAGUGGAUUCUCUUGGAAUUCAAUAACUCGAAAAUUUGAUGCUGAGGACGACGUCUGGGAAGAGCUGAUUAAAGGAAAGCCACAUGCUGCAAGAUGGAGAAAAAUGCAAAUUAAGCAUUAUGACAUCUUGACUGAGUUAUUUGCAACUGAUAGGGCAAAAGGAAAUGUUGCGAAAACAGCUAAGGAAAGGAGGAAACAAUGGGAGAAGGAGAAUAUUGACUUGAAUAACUAUUUUGAAGAUACAGAAAUGUAUGUGCCAAAUGUUGGUAUGUUUGAUGAAAACCAAUUUUCACCCCCCAACUUUGAGGAUGCUAGUCCACAAAAUGGUCAAACAAAUCCUAGUGGCUUAAAUACUUCAAGGGGUACAAAACGGAAGAGAAAUGUGGUUGAGUUAGUUGAAGAUCAAUAUGAGCGAAUGAAUGAAAGUAUCAUGACAAUUGCUGAAGCUUUGAAAGAGGGAAAUUCUGUUUCUAAGGAGCUGCACCAAGUUGCAGAGCGUCAAGUUGAAGUUGCUGAAAGACAAGUUGCAGUCAUUGAAAAACAAGUUGAAAUUGCUGAAAAACAAGUUACUGUGAUACAACAAACUCGUCCUCGUCAUUAUUCAGAAUCUGAUGUAUGGGAUCUUUUAGAGGAAUUAAGAGUCACAGAUCCAUUUCGCAUGAAGGUUUAUAACCAUUUAUGUGAUAAUGAGCACAAAAAACGUAAGCUUUUUGGCGUACCACCUCAUAUGAGAGGAGAAGCUCUCAUUCAAAUGAUGACUGAUGCAGGUAUAUUUUGUUAAGAGCAUUGGUAGUGCUCCUUUUUUGGUCCUAUAUAUUUAGGACAUCAUGUGAUGCCUUUACUAAUGACAGCCUAUAACGGAUUGCUUUUUUGGAGUGGUUGUGGAUAUGCUCUUUUGUUGGGAUUGUAUAUAUUUAAGGCAUCAUAUGAGACCUUAUUAAUUUAUGACUUAGUCUAUAUUAAUUAUCAUUUUGGGAUAUAUAUGACUUAAGAUGGAAAUUAUUAGUUUUUAUGACUGGAGAUGCAUGGUAACCUGUGACUUUUGUUGUUAUGCUACUUUUGAAUAUGCUUUGGAGUCUGCUAUUCCUUUUGGUACUAUAUUGAUGAUUUUGAUGAUGGAGCCUUAUACCAUCCUUCAGAGGUGUGCAUUCAAUAGAAACUGAAAGGUGCUUUCACCUCUAGUGCAAUACAAGUAGAAGUGCAGCAAGCAACUGGAGCUAUAGUGCAAAGAUGUGUAUACUAAUAUUGUGUAACUAGACUGUCAUUUAUGUUUAAUUUGCACUAUAACAUGUAGUGUAAUUGGCCAAUAUAUGCAUCAUAAUACUCAAACUCAAUAUUUAUAUAUAAAUAGAAUGAUGUUGCUUUAGCACUAACUCAUCCAAGAUUUCAAUUUUAUCUAUGAGGAAUUGAACAACUGGUUCAAUUG